rnacentral:rRNA from 1 species
GAUGAACGCUGGCGGCGUGCCUAAUACAUGCAAGUCGAGCGAACGGACGAGAAGCUUGCUUCUCUGAUGUUAGCGGCGGACGGGUGAGUAACACGUGGAUAACCUACCUAUAAGACUGGGAUAACUUCGGGAAACCGGAGCUAAUACCGGAUAAUAUUUUGAACCGCAUGGUUCAAAAGUGAAAGACGGUCUUGCUGUCACUUAUAGAUGGAUCCGCGCUGCAUUAGCUAGUUGGUAAGGUAACGGCUUACCAAGGCAACGAUGCAUAGCCGACCUGAGAGGGUGAUCGGCCACACUGGAACUGAGACACGGUCCAGACUCCUACGGGAGGCAGCCGUAGGGAAUCUUCCGCAAUGGGCGAAAGCCUGACGGAGCAACGCCGCGUGAGUGAUGAAGGUCUUCGGAUCGUAAAACUCUGUUAUUAGGGAAGAACAUAUGUGUAAGUAACUGUGCACAUCUUGACGGUGCCUAAUCAGAAAGCCACGGCUAACUACGUG